rnacentral:rRNA from 1 species
GACGUAGGGCGCGAGCGUUGUCCGGAUUUAUUGGGCGUAAAGAGCUCGUAGGCGGCUUGUUGCGUCGGCUGUGAAAUCCCGUGGCUUAACUGCGGGCUUGCAGCUGAUACGGGCGGGCUGGAGUUCGGUAGGGGAGACUGGAAUUCCUGGUGUAGCGGUGGAAUGCGCAGAUAUCAGGAGGAACACCGGUGGGCGAAGGCGGGGUCUCUGGGCAGUAACUGACGCUGAGAAGCGAAAGCGUGGGGGAGCGAACAGG